rnacentral:rRNA from 1 species
UACGGGGGGGGCAAGCGUUGUUCGGAAUUACUGGGCGUAAAGGGCUCGUAGGCGGCCAACUAAGUCGGACGUGAAAUCCCUCAGCUUAACUGGGGAACUGCGUCCGAUACUGGAUGGCUUGAAUCCGGGAGAGGGAUGCAGGAUUCCAGGUGUAGCGGUGAAAUGCGUAGAUAUCUGGAGGAAUACCGGUGGCGAAGGCGGCAUCCUGGACCGGCAUUGACGCUGAGGAGCGAAAGCCAGGGGAGCAAACGGG